CAAGCACAUCAACACCCACAAUGAGACAUAACAGGGGGAAGUGAGAGGACAGUUGGAAAGAUUUGUAUGACAUUGGAAUGUUGCUGUCAAACAUUGUUGGCGUGCUGGCUGGGAGGCACAGGGUUGGGGCAUGAUGUGUUUGUUCUCUCUCUGCCUUACCUGUCGGUUUACAAAAUAGGGAGGCACAGGAGAGGGGGCGGUGGCCAUUUUCUCUCCCUCUCGAAGUUGUCACAGAAUCAGAGGAUUCAGUAAUACACCUGUCGUUAAGCCGAAUUAAUAGAUUAAUACGUUUUUGACGCCUGUCUAUGGAAGAUCCUGCUUAACAUCAUGUGUUAACGAUUCGUUUGGAUAAUAGGCCUACCAAUAGGACAUAAAAAUGAAAAAGUCAACGUUUUUUUUGGGUCGAAAGAACCAAUCACUUUUCGACACCAAUAUUAAAAUCAAGGAGAUGGACAAUGUUGAGCUGGUGUUGGAUUCAUCAGCCAUUCCUGAAUCAGGCACUGCCAAAGUGAGGAACAGACCCACAGUAAAGCACUUCACGUCGUCCUCUGAUGUUGUACAAGGGUUUAAUGUACCAACGCCCAAAGUUCCUGUCCUCCCCCCUUUCAACAGACCAAAGAUCAACGGGGCAGUAAACGGUGAACGGUUGUCCAAUGGAUCUGCUGUAUCUGUACCUGAUUUGGUGGGAGAGAUAUUUAUUCCACCUCCACCUUCGAUGCCCCCCCCACCCCCUCCACCCAUAUUCAACCCUCCCCCACCAGAUUUCUUGGGUGACCUCGACUCUAUUCAGCCUCCCUCCAUGCCCCCUCCAAAACCCCCAUCAAAACCAUCAUCAGUUGCCCCCUCUGAAGGGGACAAGAAUGUUUUCACCUCCAUGAAACUUCCACCUAUGGCCCCUCCGAAGCCCCCGUCAACUUCCUCCAGUGCUUCUAGUUCCUCUUUGUCCAGUUCUACACCACCACCAACCACUGUCCCUGUUAUCACAGAGCCCCCAAAGUUUGCCCCUCCACAGCCCCCUACAGACAUGAGGCAAGCUGCUCUGAAAGCCCUGAAGACACCGCCUACAAAGCCAAUGAGGCUGUCCUCCAUCCCCAUUAUGUGUGAACUCCCCCAGGUUCCUGCCCCAGCACCCCCUGUACAGAACCCUAGACCGUCCAGCUUCAACCCCCAGAACACAGCUAAGCUCUACAGUGUUCCUAAAACCGGCAUUCUAGAUAGGCAGGUGGAAGGUGAAAAUAAGCACAAGCAGAUCCUACUGCUGCAUGACCCUGGGUCUACUGACUCCGUCCUGGUCAAUGGGACAGCCCCCUCUGUGGCACCGCCAGUUAAGCCAGCCCGGAGAAACAGCUCGGGUAUGCAGCUGGAGCAAGACCUGAAGGAGUUAAAGGAUAAUUUUAAAGCCACUCUUCAAGGCCAACCCACCCCACCUGAGACUCGGAAGGAAGUGAAAGUGGGGCCUUUGCCUUUAUUAGCACAGCAGUCUAUCAACAAACCUGCCGAAACUCCCACUAAAGCAUCACCAAUGCUUCAGGUCGUCACUGCCCCUGUAACCAUAGAGGCUAGCCAGGUCAAACACAAAGUGUCUCCAAACCGGAGUCGCAAGUUCAGUCCAAUGCUGGACCGUAAACUGCGCAACCUAAAGUUCAGUGCGGUCACUGGGACGAGGGAGGGUCCUGCCACUUCCCCCCUGGCUCUUCUCAUGGCGGCUAAAGAGCGAGAGAAGCACAGGUCCACUUUGUCACGCGAAAACAGCACAAAGAGUAAUGAGCUAUCCACCAGCAUCCAGCACAGCGAAUCCAAUCCCAAUUCUUUCACCAUCAUCCCCAGGUCCACCUCAUUCACUUCGGUGACCUCACAAGAUAAUCCACAGUCUGUGGUCCCAGUGCAGCCCCCAGUGGUGAUCCAGACUUCAGCAAAACCCCAGAUCAUUGAGUCAGUGGUGGAAAAGAGGCCAAUUGCAAAUCCAGUAUUUCAGGGGCUCCUGGCUGUGGAGAAACAAAGUGGAGAGCAGAGGAUUUCAUCCCCCUUUAGCCUUGUCAGGAAUGAAGAGAACAGGGAGGACCUAUGCUUGCCAUUACUCCCUCCCCCUCCCGAAUUUGAUGACCAUAAUGAUGUCGUGGAGUCUCCCCCCAGCUCGCCUCCACCUGACCCUCCCCCAAAGAAGGUCCUGGUUCCCAUUCCCACCCCUGCCUUUCCAGUCCUGCCCCCCACUGCCAGCCUUAUCGUUCCUGUCAAAACUCCCUCCCCUGCGCCCCCCCCUCCUCCAAAACCCAAACCUCCAAGCCCUCCCAAACUCCUGCCUCCCGUCAUGGAGGUCAAACCCAAGCUACCUGUUCAGACCACACCCAAGCCACCUCCCACCCAGGCGUCCUCCUCCCUCUCAGCCAGCCAGGCCACGCUCCUGACCAUCCUGCAGAAGAAGAUGCUGGAAAUGGACCACAAAAUGGACAACAAAAUGCUGUCCAUGAAGACAGACUCUGAUGACUGGGGUUCUCCCUUGUCUGAGGAGACCAUGGUCCCUGUUGUUCCCAGGGUCACCCCGAAGACCCCUGUUAUCACCGCAAAGAGCAAGAAUGCCACCUUGUCAGCCAGAACACAAGGCCUGGACAUGAAGGAGCUGGAGACUAAAAUGGCCAAGAAUUCUCAGGGUUUGUCAGCUCCAUCAAAAGUACCCAUCAGCAAUGGGCCACAGUCAAAGCAGGCAUAUGGCAUGACUUUCAUGGUACGACCCGGAACCAAACAACCAAUAACUGUUGUCAGCAAAGGGGUCUCAUCAUGAGGAGCCAACUUCAAAUUAUACCACACAUUCAAUUAAAAUAACUUUAAUUUCCUGAGAGAACUAUAUGUGUGGUGACGGGUCUGUACAAGACAAAUAACAAAAUAGCAACAUAGAACACAAAAACGUACAGUGUAAUAGAUUAGGAGCAAUCUAUGCAAUCACAGGCUAUAUAUACACAUACAGUACCAGUCAAAAGUUUGGACACCUACUCAUUCAAGAGUUUAUUUAUUAUUACUAAUUUCUAAAUUGUAGAAUAAUAGUGAAGGCAUCAAAACUAUGAAAUAACACAUAUAGAAUCAUGUAGUAACCAAAGAAGUGUUAAACAAAUCAAAAUAUAUUUUAGAUUCUUCAAAGUAGCCAGCCUUUGCGUUGAUGACAGCUUUGCACACUCUUGGCAUUCUCUCAACCAGCUUCAUGAGGUAGUCACCUGGAAUGCAAUUAAGUAUAUUAUGAUUUGUUUAACACUUUUUUUGGUAACAUGAUUCCAUGUGUUAUUUCAUAGUUUUGUCUUCACUAUUAUUCUACAAUGUAGAAAAUAGAAAAAACAAAGACCCUGGAAUGAAUAGGUGUGUCCAAACAUUUGACUGGUACUGUAGAUACAAAUAAAAACAAGAAAUACAAGAGUUGAGUUUUAUGGAUGUUGGCACAAAACUAGAAGCUGCUGGGCUCUUAGAUGUGUAUGCCAGAGAUCUAUGUCUGAGUGGCUAUACUGGUCAUGGAGUGUGUACGCGUAAUGUCCAAGGCUAUUUGUUCCCACUUCUUCCUCACUAUUUUAUAUUUAUUUAUAGACGUCACUGAGGGGUUCCUGGCUUUCUCCAAUGAUUUUUAGUACUCUGUUCAACAGUAUCUUUGACUGCUGCAGUUUAAUCAGUGUGUGAUAGUAUACAUUGCCUUAUUUAUCUUAGGCAGACCUAAUAGAUUUAAAAACAGAAGCACAAUCUGCUUUCAAACUAGCAGCUGUGAAUUGCCAGUCUUAAUAUAUACAGCAUGUUAUUAUAAAAGGACGUACAAAUUGUUUUGCUUAUAGGUUGAGUGCCACAGUACCUGUAUAUACUGUAUAUGUUAACAUACGGAAUUGAAAUGUAGCCUACUAGAAUACAUUUAGAACACAUACUGUAUAUAGUUCACUGUACUAAACUUGUUCCAUACAAUGGAUCACUAAAUAAAAGCAAAACAGUUCUCAGGCAUUUGCCACAAUGACAUUAAAAAUGUACUUUUACAUUUGUGCUGAAGUCUAGCUAUUGCGUCAGUCAUUAUUAAAGCUGCUCAUAUAUAUCUCCAUCCAAAUGUAAUCUAAUUAAAACCACGACGCAUCAAAUACUGGAUGUGAAGAAAACUUAAGGGUUGGUAAAUGACAUUGGAGGAAGAAUAGUGUAAGUGGACAUCUAAUUUUGGUCAUGUCCUUUUAGAAUGUUUUAGCAAAAAAAAAAAAACACCA
rnacentral:lncRNA from 1 species